rnacentral:rRNA from 1 species
UAAUACUGAGGGUGCAAGCGUUAAUCGGAAUUACUGGGCGUAAAGCGAGUGUAGGCGGCUUCGUAAGUCGGAUGUGAAAGCCCCGGGCUCAACCUGGGAAUUGCAUUCGAUACUGCGCGGCUAGAGUCUGAUAGAGGGAAGUGGAAUUCCAGGUGUAGCGGUGAAAUGCGUAGAGAUCUGGAGGAACACCAGUGGCGAAGGCGGCUUCCUGGAUCAAGACUGACGCUGAGGCUCGAAAGCGUGGGGAGCAAACAGGAUUAGAUACCCUGGUAGUCCACGCCCUAAACGAUGUCAACUAGACGUUGGUCCCAUUGAAGGGAUUAGUGUCGAAGCUAACGCGUUAAGUUGACCGCCUGGGGAGUACGGCCGCAAGGUUG